UACGUAGGGGGCGAGCGUUGUCCGAAUUUACUGGGCGUAAAGCGCGCGUAGGCGGGCUCUUAAGUUGGGGGUGAAAUUCCGGAGCUCAACUCCGGAACUGCCUCCAAAACUGGGUGCCUUGAGGUAUGGAGAGGGAAGUGGAAUUCCUGGUGUAGCGGUGAAAUGCGUAGAUAUCAGGAGGAACACCUGUGGCGAAGGCGGCUUCCUGGCCAUAUCCUGACGCUGAGGUGCGAAAGCUAGGGGAGCGAACGGGAUUAGAUACCCCGGUAGUCCUAGCCGUAAACGAUGGAUACUAGGUGUUAGUGGUAUCGACCCCACUAGUGCCGUAGCUAACGCAUUAAGUAUCCCGCCUGGGGGGUACGACCGCAAGGUUGAAACUCAAAGGAAUUGACGGGACCCCGCACAAGCGGUGGAGCAUGUGGUUCAAUACGUCACUAACCGUAGAACCUUACCCAGGCUUGGCAUCCGCUGUAAGUCCGUGAAAGCGGUACCCUGCUGUAGUAAUACAGCACAGCGAGACAGGUGUUGCAUGGCUGUCGUCAGCUCGUGUCGUGAGAUGUUGGGUUAAGUCCCGCAACGAGCGCAACCCUCAUCCGAUGUUGCCAGCGUAAAGUCGGGAACUCUUCGGAAACUGCCCGUGUGAGCGGGAGGAAGGUGGGGAUGACGUCAAGUCCUCAUGGCCCUUAUAGGUGGGGCUACACACGUCAUACAAUGGCUGGUACAGAGGGUUGCCAACCCGCGAGGGGGAGCUAAUCCCAUAAAACUAGUCGUAGUCCGGAUCGCAGUCUGCAACUCGACUGCGUGAAGUCGGAAUCGCUAGUAAUCGCGGAUCAGAAUGUCGCGGUGAAUACGUUCCCGGGUC
rnacentral:rRNA from 1 species